rnacentral:rRNA from 1 species
UACGGGGGGGGCAAGCGUUGUUCGGAAUUACUGGGCGUAAAGGGCGCGUAGGCGGCGCUCUAAGUCGGACGUGAAAUCCCUCGGCUCAACCGGGGAACUGCGUCCGAUACUGGAGGGCUUGAAUCCGGGAGAGGGAUGUGGAAUUCCAGGUGUAGCGGUGAAAUGCGUAGAUAUCUGGAGGAACACCGGUGGCGAAGGCGGCAUCCUGGACCGGUAUUGACGCUGAGGCGCGAAAGCUAGGGUAGCAAACGGG